UCAGUAUAAUGGGAGGUGUGGAAGAGAACUAUAAAUGAUACUGACCAGGAGUCCCUCCAUCACGACUAAGCAGGAGCUUCUUCAGAAAGAUUCAGAGAACUCCUACAGGUUUAGUCCGACGUCAGAAUGAUGAACCCUGCUUUCCUCUCUGUGGCUCUGCUGCUGCUGGUGCUGCUUCCUGGGGCCCCAGCUAGAAAGGACUCACCUGAAAGUGAUUUAGCUGAAAGUGAUUCAGCUGAAAGUGAUUCACCUGAAAGUAUUUCAGCUGAAAGUAUUCCAGAUGAAAAUGAUUCAGCUGAAAGCAUUUCAGCUGAAAGCAUUCCAGCUGAAAGUGAUUCAGCUGAAAGCGAUUCACCUGAAAGUAUUCCAGAUGAAAAUGAUUCCG